UAGGGAAUCUUCCGCAAUGGCCGCAAGUCUGACGGAGCAACGCCGCGUGAGUGAAGAAGGAUUUCGGUUCGUAAAACUCUGUUGUUAGAGAAGAACAGCGCAUAGAGUAACUGUUAUGCGUGUGACGGUAUCUACCCAGAAAGCCACGGCUAACUACGUGCCAGCAGCCGCGGUAAUACGUAGGUGGCAAGCGUUGUCCGGAUUUAUUGGGCGUAAAGCGAGCGCAGGCGGUCAAUUAAGUCUGAUGUGAAAGCCCCCGGCUCAACCGGGGAGGGUCAUUGGAAACUGGUUGACUUGAGUGCAGAAGAGGAGAGUGGAAUUCCAUGUGUAGCGGUGAAAUGCGUAGAUAUAUGGAGGAACACCAGUGGCGAAGGCGACUCUCUGGUCUGUAACUGACGCUGAGGCUCGAAAGCGUGGGUAGCAAACAGG
rnacentral:rRNA from 1 species